GGUAAAAUGGCUGAUAAUAGGCGAUAAAUUGUAAAUUUAUUUAUGAAUAGAAAUUCUUUUACCA
rnacentral:tRNA from 1 species